rnacentral:rRNA from 1 species
CCUACGGGGGGCUGCAGUGGGGAAUAUUGGACAAUGGGGGCAACCCUGAUCCAGCCAUGCCGCGUGUGUGAAGAAGGCCCUCGGGUUGUAAAGCACUUUCAGUGAGGAAGAACGCCUGGUGGUUAAUACCCAUCAGGAAAGACAUCACUCACAGAAGAAGCACCGGCUAACUCCGUGCCAGCAGCCGCGGUAAUACGGAGGGUGCGAGCGUUAAUCGGAAUUAUUGGGCGUAAAGCGCGCGUAGGUGGCUUGAUAAGCCGGUUGUGAAAGCCCCGGGCUCAACCUGGGAACGGCAUCCGGAACUGUCAAGCUAGAGUGCAGGAGAGGAAGGUAGAAUUCCCGGUGUAGCGGUGAAAUGCGUAGAGAUCGGGAGGAAUACCAGUGGCGAAGGCGGCCUUCUGGACUGACACUGACACUGAGGUGCGAAAGCGUGGGUAGCAAACAGGAUUAGAUACCCUAGUAGUC